rnacentral:rRNA from 1 species
CACGUAGGGGCCAAGCGUUGUCCGGAUUUAUUGGGCGUAAAGGGCUCGUAGGCGGCCAACUAAGUCGGACGUGAAAUCCCUCGGCUCAACCGGGGAACUGCGUCCGAUACUGGAUGGCUUGAGUUCGGGAGAGGGAUGCGGAAUUCCAGGUGUAGCGGUGAAAUGCGUAGAUAUCUGGAGGAACACCGGUGGCGAAGGCGGCAUCCUGGACCGACACUGACGCUGAGGAGCGAAAGCCAGGGGAGCAAACGGG